rnacentral:rRNA from 1 species
CCUACGGGUGGCUGCAGUGGGGAAUAUUGGACAAUGGGCGAAAGCCUGAUCCAGCCAUGCCGCGUGUGUGAAGAAGGCCUUCGGGUUGUAAAGCACUUUCAGUGGGGAAGAAAGCCUUGGGGCUAAUACCCUCGAGGAAGGACAUCACCCACAGAAGAAGCACCGGCUAACUCCGUGCCAGCAGCCGCGGUAAUACGGAGGGUGCGAGCGUUAAUCGGAAUUACUGGGCGUAAAGCGCGCGUAGGCGGUCUGAUAAGCCGGUUGUGAAAGCCCCGGGCUCAACCUGGGAACGGCAUCCGGAACUGUCAGGCUAGAGUGCAGGAGAGGUAGGUAGAAUUCCCGGUGUAGCGGUGAAAUGCGUAGAGAUCGGGAGGAAUACCAGUGGCGAAGGCGGCCUUCUGGACUGACACUGACGCUGAGGUGCGAAAGCGUGGGUAGCAAACAGGAUUAGAUACCCCGGUAGUC